rnacentral:rRNA from 1 species
UACGAAGGGGGCUAGCGUUGUUCGGAUUUACUGGGCGUAAAGCGCACGUAGGCGGAUUGGUCAGUUAGGGGUGAAAUCCUGGAGCUCAACUCCAGAACUGCCUUUAAUACUGCCAGUCUCGAGUCCGGAAGAGGUAAGUGGAACUCCGAGUGUAGAGGUGAAAUUCGUAGAUAUUCGGAAGAACACCAGUGGCGAAGGCGACACACUGGGCCAUUACUGACGCUGAGGCGCGAAAGCGUGGGGAGCAAACAGG